UUCAGCAUAUGUCCUCAGUUUAGUUAUUAACCUGGAACUUCCCAAUAGCUGGCCAGCUGUGAGGGUGGGUGGGGCAAUGGCUGACUGGAAGUCUCUCUUGUAGCCUGCAGUUCAUUUUCACAGGGAGCCGAGCAGGGAUCAGGAAAUUCCUGAAUAAGAGGAGAGUCAGAUCUUUCCAAGAGUGACUCUGCAGAAGUCUGAGUCACCACACUCGGCAGCACUGUACAAUGGGAGCUCAAUACCACAACGUGCGGCUACCAGCAAACAGAAAGCUAGAGGGGUUGGCUGAACCAGAGAAGACUGGAAACAGUUUAUCUCUGUCCAAAGCUCUUCAAGGGAAAACAGUGAUGUAACCUCUCCUGCAUGUCUUGGGUCUGCUGCGGGUCCUCCUCCUGGUUGGACACACCUGUAAAACCUCACCUGGGAGGCGUUCAGACAGCAUCCUUAUCAGAUGGCUGAGCCACCUUAACCGGCUCCUUUUGACAUUAAAUGAUUAAAAA